rnacentral:misc_RNA from 1 species
GAUGAAGAACGCAUCGAAAUGCGAUAAGUAAUGUGAAUUGCAGAAUUCAGUGAAUCAUCGAAUCUUUGAACGCACAUUGCGCCCGCCAGUAUUCUGGCGGGCAUGCCUGUUCGAGCGUCAUUACAACCCUCAGGCCCCCGGGCCUGGCGUUGGGGAUCGGCGGAGCCCCCCGUGGGCACACGCCGUCCCCCAAAUACAGUGGCGGUCCCGCCGCAGCUUCCAUCGCGUAGUAGCUAACACCUCGCGACUGGAGAGCGGCGCGGCCACGCCGUAAAACACCCAACUCUUCUGAAGUUGACCUCGAAUCAGGUAGGAAUACCCGCUGAACUUAAGCAUAUCAAUAAGCGGAGGA